AUGAAUUUCAGAAACUUGGAAGAUUUCUGGGCUUUUUAUGUGAGUCAACAUUCGAAACGAGCUACUAGACAUUGGCACUUUGUGGGAACGCUUUUGAGUAUUUUGUUCUUGGUGUGUUCGGUUUUUUUCAGUUGGUGGUUUUUGUUCUUUGUUCCUUUAUCUGGGUAUGGGUGUGCUUGGUAUAGUCAUUUCUUUAUUGAAAAGAAUGUUCCUGUUACUUUUGGACAUCCAUUGUGGUCGUUGGUUUGUGAUUAUAAGAUGUUUGGGUUGAUGCUUACUGGGAAAAUGGAUAGAGAGAUCAAGAGGCUUGGGAAAAGACCUGUGUUGCAAGUGUUUUAA